rnacentral:piRNA from 2 species
GCCUUUUGGCUAAGAUCAAGUGUAGU